UAUUUUUCAAUAUAAAAACAUUUUUUAUGAGUUAUGGGCUAUGAUCCAUAUAAUUUUUCUAUUAACGUUCUCUUAAUAUUUUUCUAAGUCUAUGAUUCCUACUUUUUCUCAAUAAAAUAAUAUAUUUAUUAUUUAAAAUUUUUUUUUUUAAUUUCCGUGGAAAAUUCUUUAAGAACUGUGAGAGUAUAUAUUAACCUUUCCUAACUCCCCUCAUUUUUGUUGUUCUUGUUCCCUCUUAAAACUAAUCUUCACUCCCCUUUCUUUAUUUUAUUCAAAAUCUUAUUGAUUUUCUCUUUUGGGAUUGUUUUUCCAUCUUGGGAAUUCUUGUUUCAACACAAUCACAGAAGCCAUCAAGCUUGGAAUCAAAUUAGCCAACAAAUUUGGCUCACUCCAAGGUUUUGAUUAAUUCACGUGAACGAUUAUUGAAACUGACUGAUCUAUUAGUUCACAUAACCUAACAUAAUUGUUUGAUAUUAAAGCUUUGACAUUAUUAUUAUUGUGCAUUCUGAUUAAAUGAUUGUCAACUUGAAAACUACCCAAGAGUUAUCUCACAUUAACAAACCAUUACACAAAAACAAUAGUCAUGGAAACUAAAGCAAGGAAAAAUGUACCAUGUACAAUGAGAAAUCCUACAAACAACCCAAUGAAUAAUGAAGGGAUAAUGAGAAGGGAGAUAGAAAAUCGACGAUACACCGGUCAGAUGACCGGGAAAAAGGCGUUACGAGCGAGUUAUUUUGGGUUAGAAUCAAUGGUUUUGCUGGUUUGCCUGACUGCCUCAUUGUUGAUUCUUCCAUUGAUACUUCCACCAUUGCCUCCACCUCCAUUUUUGCUACUUCUACUUCCAAUUGGGAUUUUUGGUUUACUUAUCAUCUUAGCUUUUAUGCCUUUUAAUGUUAGAGACUUGACUUCUAUGUAAAAUGUAAAUUCUCUAGCUACUUUGUUCCUCCAUCGCCUCUAAUGUAAUUUUUUUUUUUUUCCAAAAGUAGAGGUAACAUUCAGGUUAUUGGAACGAUUACAGGCGAGGUAUUUUGAAUCAAUUAAAAAUUACAAUUUGUGUUUAUAUUAGUUUUUACAUAAUAUUAAAUACAUUUCAAAGUCAAA